ACAGCAGCAGCCACGGGAAUACGUAGGGUGCGAGCGUUAAUCGGAAUUACUGGGCGUAAAGCGUGCGCAGGCGGUUGUGUAAGACAGGUGUGAAAUCCCCGGGCUUAACCUGGGAACUGCGCUUGUGACUGCACAGCUAGAGUAUGGCAGAGGGGGGUGGAAUUCCACGUGUAGCAGUGAAAUGCGUAGAGAUGUGGAGGAACACCGAUGGCGAAGGCAGCCCCCUGGGCCAAUACUGACGCUCAUGCACGAAAGCGUGGGGAGCAAACAGGAUUAGAUACCCGCUAGUCCCUGUCUCUUAUACA
rnacentral:rRNA from 1 species